rnacentral:tRNA from 1 species
GCGCCCGUGCCGGAGUUGGUAUACGGGCCCCGCUCAAACCGGGGUGCCUUCGGGCAUGAGGGUUCGAAUCCCUCCGGGCGCA